rnacentral:rRNA from 1 species
UACAGAGGGUGCGAGCGUUAAUCGGAAUUACUGGGCGUAAAGCGCACGCAGGUGGCGACGUAAGUCGGGUGUGAAAGCCCCGGGCUCAACCUCGGAAUUGCAUUCGAUACUGUCGUGCUGGAGUACGGGAGAGGUGGGCGGAAUUCCCGGUGUAGAGGUGAAAUUCGUAGAUAUUAGGGAGAACACCAGUGGCGAAGGCGGCUCACUGGUCCGGUACUGACGCUCAGGUGCGAAAGCGUGGGGAGCAAACAGG